UGUCAUGUGAGGAGUAGCAGGAAUAUUGAAAACAGAGCAUAAAAUGACCUUCAGACUAAGUGUACAAGAAGCGAGAAGAUAUAGUGUCAAAACCUUCAUCUUUGCAUUUGGGACAGACUUGAUUUCAAAGCUUAGCCCUCCCUCUUACAGCUAUGUGAUACCAAGAAAAUCACCUUGUCUAUCUGUGCUUCAAAUAGGGGCUUGUGUGAACAUCUGUCUCAUACAGCAGAGAAAGAUAAACUAAUAUGCAUACAGAGCUUGUUGUAAACUAACUCCCAAGUAGCAGACACACAACAAAUAUUGGUUCCUUUGUUCUUCACCACAUACCAACUUUCUCUUCUUAAG
rnacentral:lncRNA from 1 species